GUAUUUGACAAUGAUUUAAAAAUUAGAUCGAAUAGUUACCCGAAAAUGUUACCGGGUCAAGGGUUAUUACUUCAACCAGUGGUUUACAAUGACGUCAACAUGACUUCAUAAAUAUUUAAUUAUUUUUAAAUUUAUUAUAUUAGAAAAUAUGCAUAUUAUUAUUAUUCUAAAAUCAUAUUUGGGUAUAAAAUAUUGAUUUU
rnacentral:lncRNA from 1 species